GCUGUGAUGGAGUAGCUAAGGUGUUAGACUCAAAAUCCGACGGAAUUUCCCCGCACAGGUUCAAAUCCUGCUCACAGCG
rnacentral:tRNA from 1 species